rnacentral:rRNA from 1 species
CCCCAGCCCCCCCCUCCUUUAGAGUUUGGAUUCUGGCUCAGGACGAAACGCGGGCGGCGUGCCUAAUACAUGCAAGUUGAGCGCUGAAAGGUUGGUACUUGUACCGACUGGAUGAGCAGCGAACGGGUGAGUAACGCGUGGGGAAUCUGCCUUUGAGCGGGGGACAACAUUUGGAAACGAAUGCUAAUACCGCAUAAAAACUUUAAACACAAGUUUUAAGUUUGAAAGAUGCAAUUGCAUCACUCAAAGAUGAUCCCGCGUUGUAUUAGCUAGUUGGUGAGGUAAAGGCUCACCAAGGCGAUGAUACAUAGCCGACCUGAGAGGGUGAUCGGCCACAUUGGGACUGAGACACGGCCCAAACUCCUACGGGAGGCAGCAGUAGGGAAUCUUCGGCAAUGGACGAAAGUCUGACCGAGCAACGCCGCGUGAGUGAAGAAGGUUUUCGGAUCGUAAAACUCUGUUGGUAGAGAAGAACGUUGGUGAGAGUGGAAAGCUCAUCAAGUGACGGUAACUACCCAGAAAGGGACGGCUAACUACGUGCCAGCAGCCGCGGUAAUACGUAGGUCCCGAGCGUUGUCCGGAUUUAUUGGGCGUAAAGCGAGCGCAGGUGGUUUAUUAAGUCUGGUGUAAAAGGCAGUGGCUCAACCAUUGUAUGCAUUGGAAACUGGUAGACUUGAGUGCAGGAGAGGAGAGUGGAAUUCCAUGUGUAGCGGUGAAAUGCGUAGAUAUAUGGAGGAACACCGGUGGCGAAAGCGGCUCUCUGGCCUGUAACUGACACUGAGGCUCGAAAGCGUGGGGAGCAAACAGGAUUAGAUACCCUGGUAGUCCACGCCGUAAACGAUGAGUGCUAGAUGUAGGGAGCUAUAAGUUCUCUGUAUCGCAGCUAACGCAAUAAGCACUCCCGCCCCUGGGGGAGA